rnacentral:rRNA from 1 species
UUAAGUACAGGUAGCACAAACCGAAACUGCGGAUGGCUCAUUACAACAGUUAUUAUUGAAAUAGUGGAUAAAAGAGGAAAGGAGCUAGAAUCCUGAAUCAAACACACAUGGAUAACCCUGCUAAUCGUAGAGCUAAUACAAGAAAGCGAGUACAACUCGAGGGAUGAGGGCGAGGCCCGAGCUGGCAUGACUGGGGGAGCAAAAAGCCCAAACUUCGGCCACCCAAGCCCAGCCCUGAUGUAAUGAGAAAGAUCAGGGCGGGGCUGGAUCACUCUAGCAUGAUAACCAGGUGUAGGGACUCGUCCAAGCCCAAAGAGUCGCGUUUGUCAGCAAAGCGAAAACCAAGGGGAACUCUGUUUUGUUGGGGGUCAAACUUCAACGGGACGGGGGUCCAGAAGAGGAGACGAAGACAUGCAUUUGCUCGAGGGGUGGAAGUAAAACGACACCUGAGAGCCAUGAGGAUAAAAACGGACAGCUGGAUGAGGGGACCUCUGGGGGAAGAUACGCCAAGAACAAAAAGCCAGUUGCAUUGCAAGCCUUUGGGUCAAACUGAAGGGUAGCAGGCAGAAUGACUAACGCCCACGUGGCCCCACAGCUGGGAACAAUAUAGAUGUCUCCAAGUGAAAUAGGACAAAAGAGCAAAUUGCAAGAGUGGGGUAACACUCACUCAAGCAAUGCACUAGAGAAAUUUCUGACCUAUCAACUAGAUGGUAGGAUCGGGGCCUACCAUGGUGUCAACGGGUAACGAGGAAUUAGGGUUCGAUUUCGGAGAGGUGGCCUGGGAAACGGCGACCACUUCCAAGGAAGGCAGCAGGCGCGUAAAUUACUCGGUGCCAAUACGG